CCUACGGGAGGCAGCAGUGAGGAAUAUUGGUCAAUGGCCGGAAGGCUGAACCAGCCAUGCCGCGUGAAGGUCAGUGCCCUAUGGGCGUUAAACUUCUUUUGUGCGGGAGCAAUAAUGGUCACGUGUGGCCAGACGAGAGUACCGUACGAAUAAGCAUCUGCUAACUCCGUGCCAGCAGCCGCGGUAAUACGGGGGAUGCAAGCGUUAUCCGGAUUUAUUGGGUUUAAAGGGUGCGUAGGCUGUGAGGUAAGUCAGCGGGGAAAUGCCGCCGCUCAACGGGGUGAAGUGCCAUUGAUACUGCCUUGCUGGAAUGCGGAUGCAGUGGGAGGAAUGUGUGGUGUAGCGGUGAAAUGCAUAGAUAUCACACAGAACACCGAUUGCGAAGGCAUCUCACGAAUCCGCGAUUGACGCUGAUGCACGAAAGCGUGGGUAUCAAACAGGAUUAGAUACCCCAGUAGUC
rnacentral:rRNA from 1 species